UACGUAGGGUGCAAGCGUUAAUCGGAAUUACUGGGCGUAAAGCGUGCGCAGGCGGUUCGGAAAGAGAGGUGUGAAAUCCCAGGGCUUAACCUUGGAACUGCACUUCUAACUACCGGGCUAGAGUACGUCAGAGGGGGGUAGAAUUCCACGUGUAGCAGUGAAAUGCGUAGAGAUGUGGAGGAAUACCGAUGGCGAAGGCAGCCCCCUGGGAUGAUACUGACGCUCACGCACGAAAGCGUGGGGAGCAAACAGG
rnacentral:rRNA from 1 species